rnacentral:pre_miRNA from 1 species
UCUUAAGGAUGAGCAAAGAGGGCAGCUUCUUGAGAUGGAAUCUACUCCUGGUGAAGAUGCUGUGAA